UACGUAGGGUGCAAGCGUUAAUCGGAAUUACUGGGCGUAAAGCGUGCGCAGGCGGUUGUGCAAGAACGAUGUGAAAUCCCCGGGCUCAACCUGGGAAUUGCAUUUGUGACUGCACGGCUAGAGUGUGUCAAAGGGGGGUAGAAUUCCACGUGUAGCAGUGAAAUGCGUAGAGAUGUGGAGGAAUACCGAUGGCGAAGGCAGCCCCCUGGGAUAACACUGACGCUCAUGCACGAAAGCGUGGGGAGCAAACAGG
rnacentral:rRNA from 1 species